rnacentral:rRNA from 1 species
CAGCAGCCGCGGUAAUACAGAGGGUGCGAGCGUUGAUCGGAUUUACUGGGCGUAAAGCGUGCGUAGGCGGCUUUUUAAGUCGGAUGUGAAAUCCCUGAGCUUAACUUAGGAAUUGCAUUCGAUACUGGGAAGCUAGAGUAUGGGAGAGGAUGGUAGAAUUCCAGGUGUAGCGGUGAAAUGCGUAGAGAUCUGGAGGAAUACCGAUGGCGAAGGCAGCCAUCUGGCCUAAUACUGACGCUGAGGCACGAAAGCGUGGGGAGCAAACAGGAUUAGAUACCCCCGUAGUCCCUGUCUCUUAUAC